CUGCUAGUUGAUUCACUUACUCACCCACUAACAUUGAGCUCCUUUUCACUGUCUGUGGGCAAGGGGAAAAAAAAGGGGGGGGAAGGAAGAAAAAAGAAAGCAGGGGAAGAAGGAAGAAAGGAGGGGAAUAAACAAAAUUAUAUAUUUAAAAAUACCCGAGUAGAGCUGCAAAUCAGUUGGGAAAGAGGAUUUUGCCUGCCUUCUUCCUUAUUAUUUUGCUGCUGCAAGGCUGCUUUGCAAUCCGUAGGUUGCUCUUUUGUAAAGGAACCAGUUGAGAAGCAUCUGAGAGGUGUAGGAUCUGCAGGGGAGAGAAGGACAAGGCUGAGGUGACGGUUGUGGCUGCUGCUGGAAGGUUCAGAGUGGAGCUCUGAGGAACUGGCUGGGGGGAAACAAAGAAGUGCCUUAAAUUCAGGGUCGUGCUGCUUCUCUUAUCCUUAAAUAAGGUUGUUUUAUCCCCAAAUAAAUACAAAAAAUGCUGAAAAUUUAGGAUUCA
rnacentral:lncRNA from 1 species